AUGCAGACAUCUCUCACAGCAUAGGUGCACUAAGUCUAGUCUGUGCGGUGGUGGUUCUUUUGUGGACUUGGAAGAGAGAGCCACUCUAGUAUAAUGCAGACAUCUCUCACAGCAUAGGUGCACUAAGUCUAGUCUGUGCGGUGGUGGUUCUUUUGUGGACUUGGAAGAGAGAGCCACUCUAGUAUAAUGCAGACAUCUCUCACAGCAUAGGUGCACUAAGUCUAGUCUGUGCGGUGGUGGUUCUUUUGUGGACUUGGAAGAGAGAGCCACUCUAGUAUAAUGCAGACAUCUCUCACAGCAUAGGUGCACUAAGUCUAGUCUGUGCGGUGGAG